GGUGAGCUACCCCGAGACAGCCUAUAUUAAUUUAGGGCUAACCCGUCUCUGUGGCAAAAGAGUGGAAAGAGCUCCGGGUAGAAGUGAAAGACCUACCGAACCUGGUGAUAGCUGGUUGACUGAGAAAUGGAUAGAAGUUCAGCCUCGCACACCCCAAACCAAAAAAUAUUAUCACCAAGAUAUUAAGGGAAACGUACGAGAGUUAGUUAAAAGGGGUACAGCCCUUUUAACAAAGGAUACAACCUUUACAGGAGGAUAAAGAUCAUAAUGUAUAAGAUAUACUGUUCUAGUGGGCCUGAAAGCAGCCACCUAAACAGAAAGCGUUAAAGCUCGGACAGAAGGAAGUUUAUUAUACUGAUAAAAAAUCUUAUUCCCCUAGCUAUAUCAGACCAACCCAUGCCUCCAUGGAAGAGAUUAUGCUAAAAUGAGUAAUAAGAAGACCCGCUCUUCUCCCAGCACAAGUGUAAACCAGAUCGGACUGACCACUGGAACUUAACGAACCCAACCCCAGAGGGUAGUGUGAUUAACAAAGAACUCAAGAAGGCCUCACAUAACUAAUCGUUAACCCCACACUGGAGUGCUAUUUUAAGGGAAAGACUAAAAGAAGGGGAAGGAACUCGGCAAACACAAGCCUCGCCUGUUUACCAAAAACAUCGCCUCCUGCAACUAAACUGAGUAUAGGAGGUCCAGCCUGCCCAGUGACUACGGGUUCAACGGCCGCGGUAUCUUGACCGUGCAAAGGUAGCGCAAUCACUUGUCUCUUAAAUAGAGACCUGUAUGAAUGGCUAGACGAGGGCUUAACUGUCUCCCCCUUCCAGUCAGUGAAAUUGAUCUAUCCGUGCAGAAGCGGGUAUAAAUAUACAAGACGAGAAGACCCUUUGGAGCUUAAGGUACAAAAUUCAGCCACGUUAAACAACUCUAUAAGAAGCAAGAACUUAGUGAUAAUGAAAUUUUACCUUCGGUUGGGGCGACCGCGGAGGAAAAACAAGCCUCCGAGUGGACUGGGCCGAAUCCCUGAAGCCAAUAGAGACAUCUAUAAGCCGCAGAACAUCUGACCAAAAAUGAUCCGGCUAAAAGCCGAUCAACGAACCAAGUUACCCAAGGGAUAACAGCGCAAUCCCCUCCCAGAGCCCAUAUCUACGAGGGGGUUUACGACCUCGAUGUUGGAUCAGGACAUCCUAAUGGUGC
rnacentral:rRNA from 1 species